AUGGUAGACAGAGAGGAGGUGUGUGCUCCAGCAGGUAGUAAUAUAACACUUUCAUGCACCUACUCAUCUGCAGUCUCUCUUCAAUGGUAUCUCCAGGACCCUGGAUCACCUCCUCAGUAUAUCCUGCUUAUCCUGCAUGGUGUUGGGUCUCCAUCACGGGCUCCAGGUCUGGAUCCUCGACUAAUCAUGACAAAAAUGCCAAAUGUGGAUUUGGAGAUCUCCUCUGCUGAAGUAACAUACUCUGCUCUCUACUACUGUGCUCUGAGAACCAAAGUGACAGGAAACCCAGAGACAUGUACAAAAACCUAGAACAUCAGAU